AACGAACGCUGGCGGCAUGCCUAACACAUGCAAGUCGAACGAGACCUUCGGGUCUAGUGGCGCACGGGUGCGUAACGCGUGGGAACCUGCCCUUAGGUUCUGAAUAACUCCCCGAAAGGGGUGCUAAUACCGGUUAAUGUCUUCGGACCAAAGAUUUAUCGCCUUUGGAUGGGCCCGCGUUGGAUUAGCUAGUUGGUAGGGUAAAAGCCUACCCAGGCGACGAUCCAUAGCUGGUCUGAGAGGAUGAUCAGCCACACUGGGACUGAGACACGGCCCAGACUCCUACGGGAGGCAGCAGUGGGGAAUAUUGGACAAUGGGCGAAAGCCUGAUCCAGCAAUGCCGCGUGAGUGAUGAAGGCCUUAGGGUUGUAAAGCUCUUUUACCCGGGAUGAUAAUGACAGUACCGGGAGAAUAAGCUCCGGCUAACUCCGUG
rnacentral:rRNA from 1 species